AUAAUCUUUCAAAGAACAUGUGGGGCUUUAAUAAUUAAAUACAAACUCUGUGUUUCAGGUGUGAAUCUACCUGGUGUUUCUGCAUGGAGAGAAGGUCAGAAGUUGGCUAGAAGGCUGCUGGGUCCACCCCCUCCAUUUCCACAUUUGAGGAGCAGACCUGGAGAGCAGAGCACAGCAAAGACCUUUGAACCUUUGGAAAGAGGUCGAGGACUUGGGGCAAUGCCAGCAAUGGAAAGCAGCUCCAGAGUAAAGGGAAAUGAACCUGUGGGGAAGAGCCCUGGAUUCCAAAGCUCUGUGGUUGCUCCCAGCAAGGCUGGAAGGGGCAGCAGUGCACCAGCAGGGGAUGCAAACCAAGCACUCAGAAACCUUCUCUUGCAAAGCCAGUCCUGUGAGGAACACAGACUUAUCAGGCUCCCCAGAGAUGCUGUGAAACAGCAAUCUCUAGGGAUCCAUUCUCCUUCACCAGGACUUUGGGGCAUUCCCUCUGCCUUCAGUGGGGAAGGGAUACAACCUUCAUUAGUGAAAGAUGGAGCCAAACCCAGCACCUCAGGAAGCUGCAGCAGAGGAAAAAGUGCAUCUCCUCAGAGACAGAAAGGGUCUGAGAAAGAAAACCUUAAGCAACCUUCAAAGAGGAGGGGAAACCUUAAAAAACCUCACCCCUACAGCCCUGAGAGCGUUCGGGAAUUUAUGUACCGAAAAAAGGCAGAAAGAAAGAAGAAACUCCUCGAAGAGAAAAAGUCUUCGGUGCAGGCUGCAGAGAUGAGGAAGAAGAGGUUACAAGAAGUGUACAGGAAGCAAAAAGAAGCUAUUGGGAAGAAAACCUGUCCUGAUGAGAUGCACAAAUCCAUUGGGAAAACGGGUUCUGCCAAAGGAAAUCCUCAGUGUGAACUUGAGCCUGAGCAAACCAGUGGGGGAAUCCUGGAAACGAGUUUCAUGGCCUGGAUGGAUGAAACAUCCUCUCCUCUAUCACCUAAAGAUCACAGAGGCAGGUACUCACACAUAAAAGGCAUCCUAGAAAGCAUCUUUGUCAGCUCACACUGCAGACAUACUCCUCUCUUUUGUUUCUUUUGACAGGAAUCAACUCCUAGAAACAGCUCAAUCACCUAAAAAAGGGGAGGCAUCAGGUCCUGCAGCACCACUGGAAUCCCAGUGCUGGUUUCUCAGUCCUCUGAAAUGUGAAGACUUGAGGGACUGCUCUCCUCCAGCUCUGCAUUCACCUCCUCUGAGCUUUUCUGCUCCUCAGAAAGAUGCAAAACCUUCCUCCAAGGACUCAUCUUUUGGACUUUCUCCACACGGAAGCAAGCACGAUCAAGUGAGAACCAUUCAUAGUCUGUCCAAGGAACUUGCAGAAAAGAUUGACAUGGCAAGGGAGAGGCUGGGUGCAGCAAGCUGGGUUAAAGGCUCUGCUGACAAACAAUCAACAGACACAACUCUGGACCUCUACAGUGAGCCUCCUUCUGCCCGAGAACCUGAGACUUCCAGGGAUGAGCAAGACAGGACAAUGACUGUACAAAUGCUUCUGGACACCACAGAUCCUGAUGUGCUACAUGAGGCAUCCCAUAGGGAAUGUCAUGGACUGGGCAGGAUUGGCCUGGUGGGCAGCACUGAGGGAGCAACAGCCGUGGACAGACAGAAGGAAAUGCCAACUCCUUUGCCUGGUGGGAAUGCUGAGAGGGAAGAAUUGCCCUGGAUCACUCAUAGUGCAGGACAGAGGCACCUCAGCUCUGCAGGAGACCUGAGGAACACAUUGCAAGGUAAAUCCUUUUGACGUGACACAGCACGGAUGCUCAGGUGCCACUGCCCAGGUCUUCCAAAGCUACAAGCAGGGGUUAGGCUUCAUCUCCCCUUGGCUAUUUAUUGGAAGUGUUGUGUCUUGGAAAAUCC
rnacentral:lncRNA from 13 species